CUACGGGUGGCAGCAGUGGGGAAUAUUGCACAAUGGACGAAAGUCUGAUGCAGCAACGCCGCGUGGAGGAUGACACAUUUCGGUGCGUAAACUCCUUUUAUAUAGGAAGAUAAUGACGGUACUAUAUGAAUAAGCGCCGGCUAACUCCGUGCCAGCAGCCGCGGUAAUACGGAGGGCGCAAGCGUUACUCGGAAUCACUGGGCGUAAAGAGCGUGUAGGCGGAUAGAUAAGUCAGGAGUGAAAUCCUAUGGCUCAACCAUAGAACUGCUCUUGAAACUGUCUAUCUAGAAUAUGGGAGAGGUAGAUGGAAUUUCUGGUGUAGGGGUAAAAUCCGUAGAGAUCAGAAGGAAUACCGAUUGCGAAGGCGAUCUACUGGAACAUUAUUGACGCUGAGACGCGAAAGCGUGGGGAGCAAACAGGAUUAGAUACCCGUGUAGUC
rnacentral:rRNA from 1 species